AAUAAUUUAAUUUAUAUUAAAUAAAUAUCUAAAUUUUAAGUAUAUCAUUUACAAUGAUAAGAUGUUUUUUAAACUUUAUUUAAAUU
rnacentral:tRNA from 1 species